rnacentral:tRNA from 1 species
UCCCUGGUGGCUCAGAGGUUAAAGUGUCCACUUGCAAUGCGGGAGACCUGGGUUCGAUCCCUGGGUCGGGGAG